GACGAACGACCCAAUAUUCAUAUUGGUCAGAAUUUUGUUCUUACUCCUUUUUAUGAUGCUGCUUCUGUUCAAGUCUUACCAGAUUUUAUGACUAGAGUAGAUACGGUCAUUGAUGAACUAGGAGGUGAUAUGACAAUCUAAUCGUCUCCAAAUCACACACAGUUAAAACAAAGUGGGUUGCUUAAAGGGGAUGAUCUCACAGAUCGCUUUUUCCGAAUCCUCAUGGUUGUGGGUUUUUUGUAUAUGAAGUUUGAUCAAUAAUGGUAACUCCCUCUCCUUUUUGUUGCAUUGUAAAAAGAAAUACAUUUGCUUGGUUUGCUAGUUGCAGGUGGUUUAGCUGAAAAUCAUAUCUACUUUGCAAACCAUGUCAAGAUUUCUAGAUGUUGUUAUAUAAAUGUAAGGCGUGUUUAGAUGCAAGGCAUGCUCAGUUGAAUUGAACUAAAGGAAACAAAGAAAAAUGUAAAAAAAAAAAAAAAAAAACCAAUCUUGAAUCAGGUAUCAUUAUUCUAAUUUGAAUGAGGUUGGCAUUGCAUAUCAUGUAUUUUAAUUCAGACUCAAAAUCAUCUGAAUUUGCAGUUUCUGUCUCUUUUUUUUUUUUUU